UUUUAUUGAAAUAAUUCCUAUAUCAUUAUUAUAAAGUUUUGGUUUGCUUAGAAAAAACUGAAAUUAAAAAACAUUCUAAAUUAAGGUUAUUGCAUCUGUGUAACUUUCUGUAUGUGCUUUCCAAGUUUUUGUGCCAUUCAGUUACAGGGUUUGACUCUUGAGUCUAAAAAGGACACUAAGUCCUUCUCAAUCUUAAAUACUGACAGCAGUUAAAGCCUCAUCUUCAGACCUGGUGGAAGAUGCCAAUCAAAAUAAACUGCUUUCAUGAGACACAGGGCCAGAAGUUAAAAGUAUUCGACCUCCUAAGGCUCAGGGACUAUUGUGGAAGAGGAUACAAUUGAAGACACUGGUUAUUUUACCAAGGCUUUGAUUGGAAUGGCAUACUUUCAGAUAUAAAUCAACUGCUUUAAGGAAUCAAAGUUGACUUACAGAGUCAUAAAAUCCCCUUGGGAAAGCUGGCCUCAUGCCUUGUCCACACAGUUCCUGUAGAGUUUCCUGGCCUGUGCUACACAACUUAAACUUCAGAAGAAAAUAACAGCAACCUAUAUGCCAGCCUACUGAUGUAUGAACUUCAGAGAAAAAUGGCUCUAUCUUUUCAUUUGUUUGUUGUUUUCUUUCUUUCUUUCCCUAUUUUCUCUUCGUAGAACAUGAUACUUUACAACCUGCUAAAAAUGAGCUUUUCUAAUAAUGUGAGACCUACCUGUCUAGAAUAAAUCAUCCUAGCUAUA